rnacentral:rRNA from 2 species
GCGGAUGAAAGGAGCUUGCUCCUGRAUUCAGCGGCGGACGGGUGAGUAAUGCCUAGGAAUCUGCCUGGUAGUGGGGGACAACGUUUCGAAAGGAACGCUAAUACCGCAUACGUCCUACGGGAGAAAGCAGGGGACCUUCGGGCCUUGCGCUAUCAGAUGAGCCUAGGUCGGAUUAGCUAGUUGGUGAGGUAAUGGCUCACCAAGGCGACGAUCCGUAACUGGUCUGAGAGGAUGAUCAGUCACACUGGAACUGAGACACGGUCCAGACUCCUACGGGAGGCAGCAGUGGGGAAUAUUGGACAAUGGGCGAAAGCCUGAUCCAGCCAUGCCGCGUGUGUGAAGAAGGUCUUCGGAUUGUAAAGCACUUUAAGUUGGGAGGAAGGGCAGUAAAUUAAUACUUUGCUGUUUUGACGUUACCGACAGAAUAAGCACCGGCUAACUCUGUGCCAGCCGCGC